AUCUCCCAUGGCACAAUGGGUCAGUGUGUUUGGCUGUUAACCAGAAAGUUGGUGGUUCAAGCCCACCCAGGGAUG
rnacentral:tRNA from 1 species